UACGAAGGGGGCUAGCGUUGUUCGGAAUUACUGGGCGUAAAGCGCACGUAGGCGGACUACUAAGUCAGGGGUGAAAUCCCGGGGCUCAACCCCGGAACUGCCUUUGAUACUGAUAGUCUCGAGUCCGGAAGAGGUAAGUGGAACUGCGAGUGUAGAGGUGAAAUUCGUAGAUAUUCGCAAGAACACCAGUGGCGAAGGCGGCUUACUGGUCCGGUUCUGACGCUGAGGCGCGAAAGCGUGGGGAGCAAACAGG
rnacentral:rRNA from 1 species